rnacentral:rRNA from 1 species
ACGGGGCGCAGCAGGCGCGAACACUUUACAAUGCGAGAAACCGCGAUAAGGGAACCCCGAGUGCCAGCAUCAAAUGUUGGCUGUCCAGAUGAUUAAAAAUCAUUUGUUAGCAAGGGCCGGGCAAGACCGGUGCCAGCCGCCGCGGUAACACCGGCGGCCCGAGUGGUAGCCGUUUUUAUUGGGUCUAAAGGGUCCGUAGCCGGCCUGAUAAGUCCUUUGGGAAAUCUGGCAGCUUAACUGUCAGGCUUCUAAGGGAUACUGUCAGGCUUGGGACCGGAAGAGGUAAGGGGUACUCCAGGGGUAGGAGUGAAAUCUUGUAAUUCCCUGGGGGACCAUCUGUGGCGAAGGCGCCUUACCAGAACGGGUCCGACGGUGAGGGACGAAAGCUAGGGGAGCAAACCGGAUUAGAUACCCGGGUAGUCCUAGCUGUAAACGAUGCUCGCUAGGUGUCAGACACGGUGCGACCGUGUUUGGUGCCGCAGGGAAGCCGUUAAGCGAGCCACCUGGAAGUACGUCGCAAGG